CUGAGUGAGGGCUCCGGCCCGACCUCCAACCCCUAUGUAUUCCGACUCUGUUGCCUCGGGGGCGACCCUGCCUUCACGGGCGUUGGGGCCCCCGGUGGACACCACAACUCUGCAUCUUUGCGUCUGAGUAACACUUUUGAAUUAAAUCA
rnacentral:misc_RNA from 1 species